CCAAGCAUUGAGGCAGUCAAAGCAGGCAAAUCCGCUUUGAUAAUGCUGGGAUGUGAUGGGGAGCGAAAUUUAGUAGCGAAGUAGCUGAUUUCACACUGUCAAGAAAAGUCUCUAUCGAGGUUAAAGGUACCCGUACCGCAAACCGACACAGGUGGGUGAGGAGAGUAUCCUAAGGCCAGCGAGAGAACUGUUGUUAAGGAACUCGGCAAAAUGACCCCGUAACUUAGGGAUAAGGGGUGCCACCAUCCGGUGGCCGCAGAGAAUAGGCUCAAGCGACUGUUUACCAAAAACAUAGGUUUCUGCUAAGUCGCAAGACGAUGUAUAGGAGCUGACGCCUGCCCGGUGCUGGAAGGUUAAGGGGAUCUGUUAGAGCAAUCGAAGCAGUGAACUUAAGCCCCAGUAAACGGCGGCCGUAACUAUAACGGUCCUAAGGUAGCGAAAUUCCUUGUCGGGUAAGUUCCGACCCGCACGAAAGGCGUAACGAUUUGGGCACUGUCUCAACAACAGACUCGGUGAAAUUGUAAUUCCGGUGAAGAUGCCGGAUACCUGCGACAGGACGGAAAGACCCCAUGGAGCUUUACUGUAGCUUGACAUUGGGUCUUGGUACUACAUGUACAGGAUAGGUGGGAGGCUUUGAAACCAGGACGCCAGUUUUGGCGGAGCCAUCCUUGGGAUACCACCCUUGUAGUACUGGGACUCUAACCAUAGGCCAUGAAUCUGGUCUUGGGACACUGUCAGGUGGGCAGUUUGACUGGGGCGGUCGCCUCCCAAAAGGUAACGGAGGCGCUCAAAGGUUCUCUCAGUACGGUCGGAAAUCGUACGUAGAGUGUAAAGGCAAAAGAGAGCUUGAUUGCAAGACAUACAGGUCGAGCAAGGAUGAAAAUCGGACUUAGUGAUCCGGUGGUUCUGCGUGGAAGGGCCAUCGCUCAACGGAUAAAAGCUACCCUGGGGAUAACAGGCUUAUCUCCCCCAAGAGUCCACAUCGACGGGGAGGUUUGGCACCUCGAUGUCGGCUCAUCACAUCCUGGGGCUGUAGUAGGUCCCAAGGGUUGGGCUGUUCGCCCAUUAAAGUGGUACGCGAGCUGGGUUCAGAACGUCGUGAGACAGUUCGGUCCCUAUCCGUCGCAGGCGUAGGAAAUUUGAGAAGACCUGUCCUUAGUACGAGAGGACCGGGAUGGACGUACCUCUGGUGUACCAGUUGUUCUGCCAAGGGCAUGGCUGGGUAGCUAUGUACGGAAUGGAUAAGCGCUGAAAGCAUCUAAGCGCGAAGCCAACUUCAAGAUAAGAUUUCCCACCGCAAGGGUAAGACCCCAGAAAGACUAUCUGGUUGAUAGGUCGAAGGUGUAAGUGCAGCAAUGUAUUUAGCUUAUCGAUACUAAUAG
rnacentral:rRNA from 1 species